AAGUUCUCCCCGCGGUAGACUUCAAAUACUCUUUGUCCUGCCCCUGCUUGGCGAAAUUUACCGAAAUUAUCUACCUAUCCCGCUGGAGUGGGAGCCGGGGGAGAGCUGGAACCGCGUCUCUGCUGCUCACCUUUGUGUCCUUAGCUCCUUCGCAUGGGGUCCGACCGCAACACGUGCGCUGGAUAAACGCUUGUUAACUGGGUGAGAGCCAAGGCCUGUUCUUUCCACUUCUGGGGCUGUGACUUGAGUUUCUCCGCAGGAGCAGAUAGUGUUUGUGUAGGGACUGCGGACUUUUGCAUUACAGCCUCCCUGCUUUGCCCGCCUGCUGCUGGAAGCUUAGCAGGUGAGGAAAGAGGACUUCCUGUAUAUCUCUAUCCUUUUGUUUCCAUUACUCACUUUCUGUGGCUGCUGCUGCAGAAGCCACUGCUGACUGAUGUGGAUACCUCAAUCUUUGGUUUACAAAAAGCCUAGGUGUCUUUUGGCCUCUCUCCAGGUUGAUAGCCAUGGCUCCUGAAAGAAAUAAAAGAUGAUCAUCUUUCUA
rnacentral:lncRNA from 1 species